UGAGGAAUUUUGCGCAAUGGGGGAAACCCUGACGCAGCAACGCCGCGUGGGUGAAGAAGGCCUUCGGGUCGUAAAGCCCUGUCAGGUGGGAAGAAUGUCUUGGGGUUGAACAGGCUUCAAGAGUGACGGUACCACCAGAGGAAGCACCGGCUAACUCCGUGCCAGCAGCCGCGGUAAUACGGAGGGUGCGAGCGUUGUUCGGAAUCAUUGGGCGUAAAGGGCGUGCAGGCGGUUGGGUAAGUCUGAUGUGAAAGCCCGGGGCUCAACCCCGGAAGUGCAUUGGAAACUGUCCGACUUGAGUACCGGAGAGGAUGGGGGAAUUCCCGGUGUAGAGGUGAAAUUCGUAGAGAUCGGGAGGAAUACCAGUGGCGAAGGCGCCCAUCUGGACGGAUACUGACGC
rnacentral:rRNA from 1 species